GAUUAUGAAGUAGUAGUUUAUCCUGGGGUCAUUCCAGCUGAUACGGGUACAAGAGGUGUCCCUGCCAAGAUGGGGUUCCAGCUGGAUCAGUUUUGGAAGACAGUACUUCCAAGCCUCCGUGUCCUGCCAUGAGUCUGCACACCACGCCGACAUCUUGCUUGUUUAUUCUUCUGCCUCCACCACUCAACAGCAGUUGCUGCAUUCACAGCAUUCCUCUUUUCAGCCAUGAUUUGUUACAAGAAAGAAAAGCUGAAGUUCUUCAGCUGGAGAGCUCCGUAUGUCUGCGUCAGUCAGCGGAGUGACUCAGUGUUGUGAUGCUGAUGUAGGUCUGACUGGAUUGGAAGCCUAAAUAUAUAUAACAGAGAAAAACUCGGCAUAGCUUCGUUUGAGAGAACACACAAUUGUAUUUCUUUCUGAAAAUCUGAGGCCUUAUCUGUGCAAUGUUCCUAAAUAAAUGUAAGGGAUGUCCUUGCUGAUUU
rnacentral:lncRNA from 7 species